rnacentral:rRNA from 1 species
AGCGAACGCUGGCGGCAGGCCUAACACAUGCAAGUCGAACGAACCCUUCGGGGUUGGUGGCGGACGGGUGAGUAACACGUGGGAACGUGCCUUUAGGUUCGGAAUAACUCAGGGAAACUUGUGCUAAUACCGAAUGUGCCCUUCGGGGGAAAGAUUUAUCGCCUUUAGAGCGGCCCGCGUCUGAUUAGCUAGUUGGUGAGGUAAUGGCUCACCAAGGCUACGAUCAGUAGCUGGUCUGAGAGGAUGACCAGCCACAUUGGGACUGAGACACGGCCCAAACUCCUACGGUAGGCAGCAGUGGGGAAUCUUGCGCAAUGGGCGAAAGCCUGACGCAGCCAUGCCGCGUGGAUGAUGAAGGUCUUAGGAUUGUAAAAUCCUUUCACCGGUGAAGAUAAUGACUGUAGCCGGAGAAGAAGCCCCGGCUAACUUCGUGCCAGCCGCCGCCGUAAAAC